AUAAAAGAUGGAAAAUUUCAACACAUUUUUCUUCCAUAUGUGAAGAUAGUUUUUACUUUAUUUUCUUUGAUGGCAUAGUUGUAUUCUUGUUCUUUAUCAGAAACUUGGUCGAAACGAGAAGCUGGACAGUGUACAAGAAAACCAGAACAAGAAAAAUUGAUGCCAAGGGUUCACUCUUUUCAAGGAAGGUGUUUCUGCCCCCUCCUAAGCCCAUUGCUAUGAUAAGGCCAUGCAAGAAAGCUAUAGACCUAGCACAGUUAAGAUUAAGGUUGAACUUGAUUUUAAAGUAAAGCUGCCGCAAUAUACGAGGAUUCAAUUUGUUGAUGAUAAAACUAGGAAGGUUACCGAGCAUCUCCAGAAAUUUAAUUUGGGCUCGAGCAAUUUGGUUUUUUGUUAAUGCAUUUCAAUGUAUCAUGCUGUAUUUUUAUUGUAUUCAUCGUAAUUCAAUGUAUCUCGCUAUAUUCCAUGUAUUUUAUUGUAUUCAUUAUCUUUUUUCAUUGUAUUUCAAUGUAUGAUUCUAUGUAUUUCAUUGUAUUCACUGUCUCGCUAUAUGCCAUAAAU
rnacentral:lncRNA from 1 species